rnacentral:rRNA from 1 species
CAGUCGUAGACAUUAGUGAGAUUUGGGCCAGCCAUACGGACGCUACCGCGUCUCUGGCGCCCACCACUAUAUCCACACCAACCCCUGUGCACUGUGAUGGCGAAAGUCAUCGAACCAAAAAAACUCGUAUGGUUGUAUGUACGUGAAACUGUAGGCUUUGCCUACGAACUAUACACAACUUUCGACAACGGAUCUCUUGGUUCUCCCAUCGAUGAAGAACGCAGCGAAACGCGAUAGGUAAUGUGAAUUGCAGAAUUCCGUGAAUCAUCGAGUCUUUGAACGCACCUUGCGCUCCAUGGUAUUCCGUGGAGCAUGCCUGUUUGAGUGCCGCGAAUUCUCCCUCCCCAUACGGUGGCCGAAAGGCCGGAGUAUGGCGGACGGGGUUGGAUGGGUGCCGCUGCCUGGGAAACCAGGCUCGCCCGAAAUGCAUAAGCGCCAGGACCCUCGCUACUGCCCUCUAGGGAAGGGCGGCUGAGCGACCGCUGAGCAUGGCAUGAUACGUCAUUUGCUGUGUGUGGGCGGCCGGUUGGAGAGGUGUCUGCUUUAUACAGCCCUUUUUAUUCUGGUCUCAAAUCAGGUAGGAUCACCCGCUGAACUUAAGCAUAUCAAAAGCCGGAGGA